rnacentral:rRNA from 1 species
GCUUGAGGCUAGCUCCGCUACGGGGGGUGUGGUGUGCAGGCGCUGGCGCUGCGGCGCUGCGAUGGCGGUCGUAGUGGUGGUGAUGGGCCGGUACCGGUGCGACGAGGGGAGCAAAGGCGUGCGGGAGAGGUUCGGGGCGGUGGAGGUGGUGGUGGUGAGGGUGCAGCGGCGGCGGAGGCGGUCCGGGCUCCGGGGGUCGGGGCGGAGGCGGAGGCGGAGGCGCCGCGGGCGGUCGAGGGCGGAGGCGGCGGAGUAGCGCGCGCUGCUGGAGCGGCUCCGGCGCGCGGAGCAGCUCUGGAGGUGGAGGGCGCCGCUCCGCGGGCUGCAGAUGGAGACGUGGUUCGAGUAGGCGUUGGAGACGGCGGCGCCGGCGUGGAGGCUGCGGCGCGCGCAGGAGGCGUGGCGGCUCCGGAGGCCGCGGGGGCAGCUGCAGAAGCGGAUGUUGUGGGAGCAGCGGCCGAUGACGGCGAUGCCGGCGGAGCUGCGGCGCGCGGCGGAGUAGCGGCGUUACGGGCAGGGCGGGCUGCGGAUGUGCAUGUGCGGGUAGUAGGCCCCGGAGACGCUGGCGCCGUCCCAGCCGCUGCGCGAGCGGGACGAGCUGCUAUACGAGGCCGCGCCGACGGUCGGGUCGCAGCAGUGGAUGUGGCAGGAGGAGCUCCGGCAGACGUUCUCGUCGCCGAAGCCCCUCCGGUACUUGCAGGAGCUGCUCUACGCGCGGUUCCCGACGUGCGGGUUGUAACAGUGGAUGUUGCAGUAGUAGUUGCCGUACACGUCCCUCCCGGCGCAGCUGCUACGGUCCCUCUAGAACUUGGCCGACAGCAGAAUACCCAAGGUCGGGCUGUAGCAGUCAAUGUGGUGGCACGAGUUCCCGAACACACGGCGAUCCGCCACCCUGCUGCAGUUCCACGAGAAACGACUCUACCACCUCUUCUUGACGCACGGGUUACUACAAUGGAAACUGUACGAUCAGUCUAAGAAGACAGCGCCCCCAUACCACCUCUCCCGCUAGCUUCAAGAAGUCGUUUACAGUGUCGUACCUACGUGUGGGUUGUGAUGGAACACGUUGUAACAGUAUUUGCGAUACACAUUUGUUCCAGCACACCUACUACGGAUACUGAAGAACUUGUUGUACCCGUACAUACCCACGUUAGGACUAUGGUAAUCGAUAUGAUGACACGAUUCCCCGAACACAGCACUGCCGGCUACCCUCGUACGGUUCCUCGAUAACGGGCUCUACCAGGCUUUCUUGACGGGGGGUUUACUCCAGUGUAAGUUAUGUAAGUAGACAUAGAACACGGUCUUUCCUAACUAACUCGUUCGAUAGUUCGAAUAAGUUGACUACGGCCUCAUACCUACAAGUCACCCAUAACAGUGUAUGUUGCGAGAACAGGUACCGAAGACACACGUUCCCGCACAACUAUCACGAGAACUCAACAAAUUGUUAGAAGGUACACUCGGGUUGUGGUAAUGUAUGUGAUGCAACAACUGUCCGAACACGGUAUGGCUCGUCGACCUACGACGACGUCUCGAGAACCGACUCUACUAAGUCUUCCUAACGGGAGAUUUACGCCACUGAAAGUUGCAUGAACACUCAAAGAAGACAGUUUUUCCCAAACAGCUCCUUCGUUAGCUUGAACACAUAGUUUACUACCUCGUACCAACGUGGGGAUUGGACUAGUGUAAAUUAUGAAAUGAGCUACCCUAGUGGUUCCUAACGUUGAGUCUUCUUCGCGACCUCGAUAACGUACCAAACCAGUCAUUCCCUCAUAGGGAUCUAUGCUAUUGGAUGAGAAGUCAGCAACUACAGGAGAGUUCUCUUCUAUCUUGACUUCUUCGGUAAGUCUACAAAGUACGGCACGUUCUAUACCCCUACUCUGGUUUUCGACCCUACAUAUUGUUCUAUGACAAACGGGAGACAUUUUCUACACUUUGUCUAGUCCGAUAACUUAAAAAACGAAUAUACCACAGAUUGCCAACGUACGGAUUGCUCAGCUGGAUGUAAUAUGAGUAACUUCCAGAACGGGUACUCCCAGACAACUUCCUUCGUGUUAUACAUGACUCACUCAACAUGUGCUUUCCUCAAGAUUCGUUCUCAAAUUAACUUCUGGUGGUCAUUCCAACACCAAGUGUGACACGUAUACGGAAUAAUGACUUCUCACUCUUUCUUUUAACACGUAUACGAAACUCAGUACUCCGAAAGCACGAAUAAUUUAAGACGACUCAGAGGUACCCGGAGUAAAUGUCGUUCCACCUUAGCCCACCGUACGAAAUACACACACGAAGUUCGAUGUUACUAGGUAUUUCUACCCUAUCUAGAAACUUCACACUUCUGGUUCCUUUAGUUUUCCUGCCAGACCUCCUAUUGUGUUCGUUUAUUCUAUUUUUGUACAAGUAUGAACAUUGCCGGCUUAUUUUCUAUGUCCGGUUAUUUCAAAGAAUCUUUGUGAAGAGUCAAAGUCGUCAAACUCUGAUUUAACAACUUAAUAAACUGAUAUGAAGAGACACAAAUAUUUGUAAAACCAAACAGAAGGUACUCGUUACCAUACACGUGUUAACGAAAGGAAGGUCCCGGAACAAUUGAUACGAAAAGAACAUGUAAGACUUAUAGAUAAAAAUAGAUCAAAAUUAAUACCUGAUGUACCAGGAGCUACUUAGUACAAAGACGGAUCCAAAGGGACUGACUUAUAAGUGUACAGUUUUCUCAUGACGUUCACUCCUUUUAUAUUACAGUCGACCUAGAUAAAAAUUAGAUAUUUGUCCGAUAGAUGCGCAUGGUUAAAGUAGUAGUUCUUAAACGUAUAACCACUUUGGUGUCCCGUACAACACUCUAUGGUAAGUGUCCAACCGACAACAAGCUUGUGGAUAUGGGAAGCAACAGACGUCGUUUCCCGUUUCCAAGUCUCACUUGGAGUACAAGAAAAAAACCGAAGUUUCAACCUUGGCGUCAAGCUGCCGAGUAUUCAGUAUACUACCAAGUAGUGAAUGGUCAAUACGGGUAUGACGAGAUCACAGAUGCCACUGUACUCACGUAACGUCCUGAUUGGCUUUGAUGGCAUACAUAGGAUGUUCUAAACCAAGUCAAACAACGUACAACUAACCAAGAUAAGUAGAUAAGUUUCGUAGUAUACAUUCAAGUGACCGGAGACAAAAUUUUAAUCAAGGCGUUUUGGUAAAUUUACUUCCUUUUUGUCCUACGUUCGUUCGACCAUUAUCCUUUAGUCCUAUCUGAAUGUAGUGUAAUGUAAAACGACUCGAAGAUGGAGCACCAAGUAUCCUAAUAAUACAUCGAACAGACGUUACCAAGUCUCGACCCGUUACUGUUUUUCACAAAGAUCAGUCAUCGGACGUGUAUUUGUUCGUUGAGAAGGCACACUAGGAGUCCGUAGAAACCUAAGUUCUGGAAAUGUCUUAAGACAUCAUGAAGACAAUUCUUCUAAAAAGAGAUACCUCCGAGGAACGUGGUUUACUUACUAUGGUGGUUUUAAGUAUACCUCACAAGAAAAAUGUUUGGGUUAGGAAAUAAUCUUAGUAUCGUUAUCCAAUGUAAAGUACGAAACACAAAAGAGAGAAGCCUAAGUACAUAUCGUAGGCUUUCCGGUACAUCCAUUUAUAACAUCCUAAGUCCCUCGGUACUGUUGGUAAAAAGAUAUUAGCCCUCGGUAGAGGACGUCAAAAUCUUAGAACGCAUACGACCGUUACGCUACUAGUUUGAACAACCGAAUGACCGUACUGUUUAAUGCCAAAUAUAUUCCAAUUUAUGGAAAUACUCAAUACUGACAACAAAGAAUCA